UUUAACCGCAACCAUAAAUUUCCAUGUCCAACUUCGAUUAUCCAUCGUAUUAUUUUUUUUAUGAUUAGUAUUUUUAUUGUUAUUAGAUGAUAAAACAUAAAUAGUACUUAUGUUUUUUUUAUUUUUUUUAAAUAAGACCCUAUUAUGUUUUUUUUUAUGUUUUAAAUAAAACACUAUUAAAGUUGGAAACGAAAACUCAUGACUGCGCUCAAA
rnacentral:pre_miRNA from 1 species